CUCUGCGCCAGAAAUUCAGAAAUAAGUUGAAUAAAUCUUUCUGUAAAUGGAGUUUCACAUCCUCCAGGAUGAACAGGUGGUUCCCAGUUAUCACGAUAUUUAAAGAAUUAACUAUAAAAACAUGUCGAUUUUACAUUAAAUAUUAAACAUGAUCCGGUUAUUCCGUUCAAAGCUCCUGCUUCUUUAUCUGUUUCAGAUUAGACAAAAAAGAAACUGUUCUGAUUUCAUCAAGCCGUUCACAAUAUUUCUGUAUUAAAACUCCAUAAAUGAAAAAUAUAGAAAACAUAACUAAAAUAUUUAAAUGAAAAGUGUAAAGAAAUGUUUGAAAAUGUCAUUUAUACAUUUUCUUAGCCAAAUAUUCCAGCAAGUACCCGCGCAUGAAACCGAGUAGUUUUGUUCUGGCUUGUUGAGCGAAUGGACGCCCGAGUUGGCUAAAAUAAAGUACGUCAUGUAAAAAGAUUUAAGAUUUAAAAAUAAGAAACAUCCCGUCUCAGUUUGGACCUAAUCUAAUGUGAAUAUGAAAUUAUGAUCAAAAACUCUUGUUGUGUAAUUCAGAGUUAAUAUUUAAUCCCUUAAAUCAGUGAGUUAUUUAAUGUUUUCAUCCCUGAAGGUUGGUUGUCCUCAGACAUCGGAACGUCGGGGACGCUGAUCCGGCUCUGGUGGGUGUUUUUGUUCCAGUCAUUCCAGAUUUUUCCUUCUGUUGAGGUUUUUAUGUUUGGUAGCAUCCGUGGAUGAGGAUGAGGAGGAGAGGGGGGAUGAAGGCUCUGCAACACGAACAAUCACCUUUUGCCAGGUUUCUGCGUUUUAAAUGUGGCUACGAACGUUUUCCAGCUAACUCAGUCUGUUUUUGUCCAAAGCAAUACGAAGGCGGGAAAAACGUCCGAGCCGCCGCGACGUGGAACUUGUUGGUUUGUUCCGCUGUUUGGAAUCACGUCUUACUUGUGGCCUGCUUCUUGUUUUUUUUGUUUUGGAUGGUAAAACUCUGCUUCGCCAGCUUCUUGACGGCUUUCCUGCAAACGUCCAGCGUCUCUGGGUUUUCCGAUGAGUUGCACUUUCACCUCACGCUCACGUUACCUCAUUUUCCAAGUGUUUCUGUGUUCACACACACCUGAAUACCUCAUCAUGUACAGUGCUGAUGUGUUUUUAUUUGUUCUGUUUGGUUUGUGGAAACAUCUCAUUUCUCCCAACUGAUCCUGAAGGUGUAAAAACCACACGACUUACAUGCAGGAAAUUCUCAGGUUUGUUCGUUGAUUUCUUGUUCAGAGUUUUGUUGGGACGGAGCUCAAAAUUCACAGGAUUUAAAAUAUUUAGACUUCUUUUUUAAUCUUUAUGUACUUUGGGUUAAUAAAUUAGAGAAAAAUGUAAGUAAUAAAUAUAUUUUAGAAAGUUUACGUAAAAAUCUAAAGUAAAUUGCAAAUUUCGAACCAAAAUUUCACAAUUUUUAUUUGAAUCCUUUUUUCUAAGUAAGCUGAAUUACAUAAAAAUAUUAACGGCGCUUUUUAAUUAAGCAUUUAGAAUCACAUUCAGUUUUCAUGCUCUGGUUUAACGUUUUUAACAUAUUUCAUCGGGAUUUGGAUAAAAAUACGUAGAAACAAUAAUGUCAAGUCAUGUUUUAACAUUUAACAGAAAAAGCGACAUCAGGAAUAAAAUGAAAACACUUAAAAAUAUGUGAAAAUAUUUUAAUAUAAAACAAAAAAAAGAAAAAGCCGAUUUUCAAUUCCAGGAGGAAGAAUCCUGCAGUCUGGUGGUUUUUAUGGGACAUCUUCACCGAGUCCGGCCUGCUGUCGGAGGAAAACCUCGAACUGACGGUGCUCUGAAGAGUCGGACCAACCCGCUGCGCUCGGCAGACAUCGUACGGUUCCUGAGGUUUUCCGCCGACAGAUGCUGCGUCAUGUGAUCUGAUUAACCAAUCAUUGCUCGUCAUAUCUUGUUUACAAAGACACAACCCAGAGAAAUGCAUCCAGCUGGAAAUGAAAAAGGGCAAAUCUUUUCGGGAUAAUCGGUCCUGAACGUGAGGAAAAUCCCGCCAGACAGUCAGGAUUGAAAUGUCGUGUUAUAAAUGACGAUUUAUAUUUCACACCAUCGAGAAAUUAAUCCAGGCUUAACUUCCAAAGCAGUUUCUUUUGGUGGAAAGAACAAACUUAAUUAAAAACUAAAAGGAUAAUAAAUGUAUUUAUUAAAGGGAAACUUCAGCCUGUUUGCUUAGAUUUUCUUUUAAAUGUUUCUACAUUAAAAUUUACAUCACAAAAGAGUUAAACUAAAAACCGAGAAUUUUGUACAAACUGUGAGAUGUAAAUAAACUCUUUGUUUUGGAUCAAGAUUUCUAUUGUCCUUCUAAAAUUUAAUCUCUAUAUAAUGUCAUAGAUGUAAAAUGUUUUUUCAAGUGACAACUCGGCAUCCUGUAAUUAUAAUUUUUUCUUUAAAUUUUAAGUGCUUUAUUCAAUUAUUGAAAAGGUUUCAAGAAAACAGAUUUUCUCAAACUUGAUCAGAAGUUUAUUAAUAAAGUAGAAAUAUGGAAGUAAAAUCUGCUGAUAUUGGAGAAAUUGCAAAGGGACAAAAAACCUCUAACGAACAUUUGAGGAAAAAUGUUUUCUAUUUAUUUAAAUACACAUUAAUUGUAUGUUAAUGUUCAUUUGAAUAAAUUGAAAACGUUUCUUAGUAAAAACCUGCAGUUCAGGAAUUUGUUUUGCCUUUAGGAUGUUUGAGAUCACACAGAGCUGAAAUUCACACAGGACACCGUUUGAGACGAUAACCAAAAUGAUUAACAUAGAUUAAGGAACUAAAACAUUCUGGUUAGAUUGAGGAAGUAUAACAUUUUGGUUAGGCUGAGGAACUAAAACAUUCUGGUUAGGUUAAGGAACUAAACAUUCUGGUUAGGUUGAGGAACUAAAACAUUCUGGUUAGGUUAAGGAACUAAACAUUCUGGUUAGGUUGAGGAACUAAAACAUUCUGGUUAGGUUAAGGAACUAAACAUUCUGGUUAAGUUGAGGAACUAAAACAUUCUGGUUAGGUUAAGGAACUAAACAUUCUGGUUAAGUUGAGGAACUAAAACAUUCUGGUUAGGUUGAGGAACUAAAACAUUCUGGUUAGGUUAAGGAACUAAAACAUUCUGGUUAGGUUGAGGAACUAAGGCCCAGCCUGAGGCCCAUUUAUGCUGGACACAGAAGACUAAAAUGCAGAUGGACGGACAGUUUUGUCCGCCUUCCCGACGUCCUCCGACGUUCCUAAGGGAGCAUUAAUGGGUCUUUAGGAGAAUACAAAAGGCUUGAACUGCAGGUUUAACCUAUUUUCCAUUAAAAUGAUAAAACCAUGAAAUGCGAAUGAUAAAAUAUGUUGUCCUAACGGGAAGAUCUGCAAAUCUGUCUUUUAAACUGUGAGAAAUGAAGCAUGUAUAUAAAAGAUUUCUUUGAUUAUUUUAGCCCUCUAGACUUCUGUUACGUGUACCCUAAUUUCCACCCGAUGCUUUCUCUCCAUGCGUCGCUUUCAGCGAUGGUCUAACUGUUACGUUCAUUGUAUGAUUUCUGGCACAUCCAGACUCACAGCAGAUCACAUGCUCUGUGAUCUGCUGUGAGUUCAUUAAAUGUGGCAGUUUUUUGAAAAGUGGUUGUGGGGUUUGGAGAGAAGACGAUGUUACUGUCAAAACGUAAAGAGGAUCUAAGAGUCAACUGAGCAGUUAAGGACAAAGAUUCAGCACUUGAGUCCAGAAGGACCAUGGAUCUAGACCUGUUCCCAACAAAAGACUCUGGACAUGGGGCUGGGAUUCCUCAGGGAACGAUCCCAGGUCCCUUUUAGAGUUUGAUGUAAAGGCUGAGAUUUAAAAUCUUUCUUUUUAAAUGUUUUUUUUUUCCAUAAAAGCAGACUGUGAUGACACAGCCCAACGUGACUCAUGUUGAGAUUCUUUUUUCUACUGUACACAUUGGUUUCUACUUCCUGUUUAAUGUUUAACUGUGUUUGACAGAGAAAGUUCAUCUCAGUGUUUGUUGGAUUUGCCGCAAUACUUUUAUAGAAAAACAAUGUGCCCUUUUUGUAUCCAGCAUUCAGAUGAAUCCAAAUCUUUGGUUAGAAUACAGGUUCAGAAGUGACGAGUCGGGAAGCUGAGCCUUCAGUCAGGAGAUGGAUCCGACCAAAACAUCAGCCAAUCCCAACACAAACUUCUUUAGUACUGAGCGAAUUCUUGCCAACGUGGUUCCUGCUCACUGAUUGGCUGUUUUACCUGGUGGCCUGUGUUGAUCACAGCUGCACUGUCUGAAUGUCAUUAAACUGUCUGCCAUGACGACGUGACAAUGAAGGCCAUGGUGGGGGUGUUUUUGUAAUUUUUAUUACCUGUUUUAGUCAAUGGACCGGGUACUUUUAGUGUAAAAAUUCAAAUAAAUGUUGACUACACCACCGGG